rnacentral:snRNA from 1 species
AUGCUUGCUUCUCUAGCAUAUAUAUAAAAUUAAAAAUACAAGGAUGAUUAAAUAGCCCCUGCACAAAGACUGGUACACAAUUCAUGAAGUGUUUCACAUUUUU